rnacentral:rRNA from 1 species
AUUGAACGCUGGCGGCAGGCUUAACACAUGCAAGUCGAGCGGAGCGAGGGUGCUUGCACCUUAGCUUAGCGGCGGACGGGUGAGUAAUGCUUAGGAAUCUGCCUAUUAGUGGGGGACAACAUUCCGAAAGGAAUGCUAAUACCGCAUACGCCCUACGGGGGAAAGCAGGGGAUCUUCGGACCUUGCGCUAAUAGAUGAGCCUAAGUCGGAUUAGCUAGUUGGUGGGGUAAAGGCCUACCAAGGCGACGAUCUGUAGCGGGUCUGAGAGGAUGAUCCGCCACACUGGGACUGGGACACGGCCCAGACUCCUACGGGAGGCAGCAGUGGGGAAUAUUGGACAAUGGGCGGAAGCCUGAUCCAGCCAUGCCGCGUGUGUGAAGAAGGCCUUUUGGUUGUAAAGCACUUUAAGCGAGGAGGAGGCUACUAGUAUUAAUACUACUGGACAGUGGACGUUACUCGCAGAAUAAGCACCGGCUAACUCUGUGCCAGCCGCCGCCGUAAGAC